rnacentral:rRNA from 1 species
CCCCUAGAUGUUCUGGGCCGCACGCGCGCUACACUGAACAGUUCAACAAGUCUUAACCUUGGCCGAUAGGUCUGGGUAAUCUUUGAACGCUGUUCGUGAUUGGGAUAGACCUUUGCAAUUAUGGGUCUUCAACGAGGAAUUCCUAGUAAACGCAAGUCAUCAGCUUGCAUUGAUUACGUCCCUGCCCUUUGUACACACCGCCCGCCGCACCUACCGAUUGAAUGGUCCGGUGAAAUCUCGGGACGGCGGCUUGGUCGCUUGCGUCCGACUGCUGAAACUUGAUUAAACCAUNUNAUUUAUNGGAAGGUGAANUCGUANCA